rnacentral:rRNA from 1 species
AUUGAACGCUGGCGGCAGGCCUAACACAUGCAAGUCGAGCGAGCGGCGGACGGGAGAGUAAUGUAUGGGGACUGCCCGAUAGCAGGGGAUAACUACUGGAAACGGUGGCUAAUACCGCAUACUAUCGGAUAACCCAUUUGUGAUGAGAUAGUAGGUAAGGUAAUGGCUUACCUAGGCGACGAUCCCUAGCUGGUCUGAGAGGAGGAUCAGCCAAACUGGGACUGAGACACGGCCCAGACUCCGACGGAGGCAGCAGUGGGGAAUAUUGCACGAUGGGCGCAAGCCUGAUGCAGCCAUGCCGCGUGUAUGAAGAAGGCCCUAGGGUUGUAAAGUACUUUCAGUCGGGAGGCGUUACCGACAGAAGAAGCACCGGCUAACUCCGUGCCAGCAGCCGCGGUAAUUG